UACGGGGGGGGCAAGCGUUGUUCGGAUUUACUGGGCGUAAAGGGCGCGUAGGCGGCCUCCGCAAGUCAGUUGUGAAAUCUCCGAGCUUAACUCGGAAAGGUCAACUGAUACUGCGGGGCUAGAGUGCGGAAGGGGCAACUGGAAUUCUUGGUGUAGCGGUGAAAUGCGUAGAUAUCAAGAGGAACACCUGCGGCGAAGGCGGGUUGCUGGGCCGACACUGACGCUGAGGCGCGAAAGCUAGGGGAGCGAACGGG
rnacentral:rRNA from 1 species